rnacentral:rRNA from 1 species
GACGAACGCUGGCGGCGUGCUUAACACAUGCAAGUCGAACGAAGAGCGAUGGAAGCUUGCUUCUAUCAAUCUUAGUGGCGAACGGGUGAGUAACGCGUAAUCAACCUGCCCUUCAGAGGGGGACAACAGUUGGAAACGACUGCUAAUACCGCAUACGAUCUAAUCUCGGCAUCGAGGAAAGAUGAAAGGUGGCCUCUAUUUAUAAGCUAUCACUGAAGGAGGGGAUUGCGUCUGAUUAGCUAGUUGGAGGGGUAACGGCCCACCAAGGCGAUGAUCAGUAGCCGGUCUGAGAGGAUGAACGGCCACAUUGGGACUGAGACACGGCCCAGACUCCUACGGGAGGCAGCAGUGGGGAAUCUUCCGCAAUGGACGAAAGUCUGACGGAGCAACGCCGCGUGAGUGAUGACGGCCUUCGGGUUGUAAAGCUCUGUUAAUCGGGACGAAAGGCCUUCUUGCGAACAGUUAGAAGGA